UCCCUGUCCUCCAGGAGCUCACU
rnacentral:ncRNA from 3 species